AGAUUUGAUAGAAGGAUCACAGGAGCAUCUGUAUCAUAAGGGACCUGAGCCAAUCUAUUUUGGAGAAACAUUCUGAGGGAAAGACCCCACAGGUUAUGGAAGAAAAGCAACAGACAGAAGAUGGGAAAAACAGGUCACGUUUAUAAGACCAGCUUGAAGACCAUGCCACACUGAGGAGUUUGGUUUUUCGUUAGGCAAAGAAACUAGCUGUUUUUUCUUCAAUGUUCAUCGGAAAACUUGCCCAGCAGCUGUGAGUGACUCUUCAGCUUUCGAAUCAUUGUCUUGGAAUCUUCUAAACCAGUAAGACCAUACUUAUUUUAUUUUAAACAUGGAAUUUAGGAGCAAAGGACUAGACAGUCCUCAAAGUAAUAAAAUAAAAAAGAAAGAAAAAUCAUAUUAGAAAUAAAGAAUGCCGCCUCCCCAACCAA
ensembl:lncRNA ZNF474-AS1 ZNF474 antisense RNA 1